GUAGAAUUAACUCAAUUGUGAAAUCCCGUUUCUGGACCAAUUUCGAGAGAAACAAUUAAGUUAUUAUCAUGGCCACGUAAGCAUAUAGGAUUUGUGCUCUUUAGCAUGGCCAUUCAUUUACUAAACCUAGCCGAAGUAUUUGAUUUAUGGUGUUAUUGAUCAUGAUGGCAUGAAGUGUCCUCAGUGUAGCCUACAACACCGAUGUCUUCUUAAAAGGAUUAGUUUACCAUUGUAACAUCGUUUACUUUAUAAAAAUGCAUAUCGAUUCCUUCAUUACAGAGUGCGCUUAGGAUCAAUUUCCAUUUGGAAACUGUUCUGCUAUAUUCAUUUUUAAACAGUAUAUCACUGUGCCAAGUUAUCUCAUGUAGUAGAUUCAGUAUUUUUCAUAGAAAUGAAAAUCCCAUUCGUCAAAUGUUAUUCACAAGAAAAAAGAACAAAGUAGACCGGUGGAUUGGGAGAAAUUACGUCCUUUCAAAUUUCACCAUUGUCUUCAAGUUAUCUUCAGUUGGGAGGCCAAAUUUGGGGCAUUUCCCUACAGCUGGGCCCUGUACCCAAGGAGUGUGUGUGCCAGGUCCUAUCACUCACCGGCCAGAUGGCAGCACUCUCAUCACUCACUCUGCGCACAUUCCAGACCAGCACCCUGUUUGCUCACCUGUUGCCCGACUACCCACAGGUGGUUGGACAGAGAGAGACCUCCAUUGUUUGAUUUUCUGCCAGUUCUGCGAGACCCGAUUGAGGACACACAAUUUCACAGCAUCAGUUCACAGCAUAUUUAUUAUCCACAUUUUUCCCAGAUCUGUGCUGGACAUACCAUUAAACCACCAUAAAUGUUGCCAAAAGGAAACAACCAUUCACUAUAUUUUGAGGUUCCUCUGCUGUAAAUUAAGAGCAAAUGCUAUUAACAUCUUCAGCAUUUUUUUUUCAUGCAUUCAUGUGUGUGCCAUGUAAGCUAUUAUACAAACAAAAUCAUAUGAAGCUUUUUAUGUCUGCUCUCCUAGAUGU